UACGUAGGGGGCAAGCGUUGUCCGGAUUUAUUUGGGCGUAAAGAGCGUGUAGGCGGCCAUACAGGUCAGCUGUGAAAACUCGAGGCUCAACCUCGAGACGUCGGUUUGAAACCGUUUGGCUAGAGUCCGGAAGAGGAGAGUGGAAUUCCCGGUGUAGCGGUGAAAUGCGCAGAUAUCGGGAAGAACACCCGUGGCGAAGGCGGCUCUCUGGGACGGUACUGACGCUGAGACGCGAAAGCGUGGGGAGCGAACAGG
rnacentral:rRNA from 1 species